AAUGAACGUUGGCGGCGUGGAUUAGGCAUGCAAGUCGUGCGAUAACCGUAGCAAUACGGGGAAAGCGGCGAAAGGGAGAGUAAUGCGUGGAUACCUACCCCCUGGUCUGGGAUAGCCGCGGGAAACUGCGGGUAAUACCGGAUAACGUCCCGGACCAAAGGUGUGAUUCCGCCGGGGGAUGGGUCCGCGUCCUAUCAGCUAGUUGGGAGGGUAAUGGCCUACCAAGGCAAUGGACGGGUACGAGGCGUGAGAGCGUGACCUCGCUCACUGGGACUGAGACACUGCCCAGACACCUACGGGAGGCUG
rnacentral:rRNA from 1 species